AUACGGGGGGAGCGAGCGUUAAUCGGAAUUACUGGGCGUAAAGCGCGCGUAGGCGGCUUUGUAAGUCGGAUGUGAAAGCCCUGGGCUCAACCCAGGAAUUGCAUUCGAUACUGCAUGGCUAGAGUAUGGUAGAGGGAAGUGGAAUUUCCGGUGUAGCUGUGAAAUGCGUAGAUAUCGGAAGGAACACCAGUGGCGAAGGCGACUUCCUGGGCCAAUACUGACGCUGAGGUGCGAAAGCGUGGGGAGCAAACAGGAUUAGAUACCCCAGUAGUCC
rnacentral:rRNA from 1 species